GCCGGAGUAGCUCAGUGGUAGAGCAAACGGCUGAAAACCGUUAGGUCGUGGGUUCGAUUCCCUCCUCCGGCA
rnacentral:tRNA from 1 species